rnacentral:misc_RNA from 1 species
GUAUAUAUUCGUGCCGUUACGCACUAUAACAUCAUCCAUUCUAUAACAUACAUGGGUUUAUAUAAAAAAUCAUAGCUAGGGCUUUCGACGUCAUUUCUAACGUCGUGAUCAUCCCCAAGCUACAGGUAGUGCACAGGUGUGAGAGGUAGAUAUGCGAUCGAGGCGUGCACAUGCCCCAAAAGGCCAGCUACAACCCUUCUCAACAUUCGUUUCAUUAAUGAUCCUUCCGCAGGUUCACCUACGGAAA